CGCAUGGUGAUUUCUUUCUCAUUAUCAUUCCAACCUUUCUCCAGUAACAUGUAUAAAAAAUUGCAGAACGUUUAGCAUCAGUUCCAUUACAGAAAUUUUAAUUACGUCACGUGUAAAAUAAGUCUUAAAAGUUAAGUGGAGACGUAAAAAAAUAAGUGAAAAAAGAAUUUAUGUUUUGCCAAAUUGGAGCACAAACGCAGACUCGGCUUCCAACUUUGUACGAUAAUUCGCUUUAUUCCAAUUUCAUAAUUGGGAAUUCUAUAUCUACCUAAAUUUCGGGACUUUUGAGGGUACAAAUUUGCCCUAUUUUUUCGAGCUUCCAAGAAUCCAUGACAUUCGUGAUGGAAAUUUGCAGACUGCAGAACAUGUUGCAUGACACUGCCAGGUCAUCACUUCAGGAAGGUCUAAAAUCUGUAGGACUACAGAUUUUAGACCACCCCUCGUCUCAUGAAGGAACCAUUUCAUAAUUAUCCACAACAAGCUUGUCUACUUCCUCCUGCAACAAGUAAUGUCCCAUCUUCUACAUAAUUCGACCUAAUUAGGCUUAUCUACCGCAACAAUGGAAACAUGAAUGGAUCUCGGUAUCUUUUGAUACAUAACUGCAUAAAUUAUAUUUACUUUUAAUUAUAACCAUUUUUCAAUGACGUCAACAAUUUUCGUCGAACAUCUUUUUAAUUACAAAAAUUGUGCAUGUGUUAAUCCAUCCAGUCGUCUAAUUUUUAUAAGAAAAAUUCUUACGUAUUUAUGUAGAGUGUCUCAAAAUAUUGAUGGCACCUAUUUUUAAUUGUGAUAUGAUCCCGAGCACUUACGAAUGCCUGCAGUCGUAUAAACUAAUUGGCGAAUAAUUCCUCGUCGUCGUAGAUUUUUAAGGAUUCAUAAUUUAAGGAUUGGUAAUUUACACAUUCGAAGCGGUGAUAGCGUCAGAAGAUACGGUUUUACAAUGAUUUCUUUAAAUUUGAAUAUUAUUUUUUUUUCAAUUUGUUAACAAAUUGUUUAAUUAGAGUCGUCCUUCUAAUUUUCAUAUUUGACAAAUCUGAAAUCAUUGUUCUGUUAUCAGAAAAUGUGUAGUUCGUUGUAUGUAAUAUUUAAAUAUUAGAAAAGCCCGUGUGUCAAUUCAUUUGACAAAGAAAUGUGCACGUUGUGGGAUAACGUUAAGUCUGGUAUAGAAAUAUGCAUAAGUAUGAAAUCAUUGUCCGGUGUACAGGGCAAUUAUGCGUUUCGAAAGAUUGUCUAAACUCCCAACGAAAUUCCAAGAAUGAUAAUCAUUGAGAUUUUAUAGUUUAUUUCUUAAAAUCGAAAAUUCGAGAGCGGACACAAUUUAUUGUGUUAAAUGAGAAAUAUUGAAAAAUAUGAAGUAUGUGAAAACAUCAUAUUUUCUAACUUAAUGAUUUCAUGGAAUAAUAUACCGUAAAACCUCUAUUUAUAGCCGGGGCUAAAAUCCAAAACUGAGGGCCACGGACCCGGCUAAAAUUAGAGACCGGCUAUAAUUAGAGACCCGGCUAAAUUUUGUUGCUCCAAAAAUUUUAGAUGUUACAAAAUCAAAUAUAAUUCAUUUUGACUCAAUUUGAGUUUUCUAAUUUAGCAAGAUAAGCCAUAAGUAACCCAUUCACUUUUAAUCUACAUCUUGAAACGAAGUUUAGCAGGUUUUUUAAAUCGUCUGUCAUGAUUAUAUCCAUUAUUAACCUGAAAUUAAUAGGAAAAAAUUAGUAGUUCAACUUAUUCGUUGAUUGGCAUAAUGUGCAACAUUUUUCUUUAAUGGACUAUGAACAGGGACACAGGGGACAAGACAGGUCAUAAUUAGAGACCCGGCCAAAAUUUUGAAAUCUUGGGCUCUAGACCCGGCUAUAUUUGGAGACCGGCUAUAAUUAGAAGAGGGCUAUAAAUAGAGGUUUUACGGUAUUCCUGCUCUGACUAAAUAGAACCGAAGUUAGGUCGUGAGAAAUAUUCGUGUCCUACAUCUAAUGUAUCGAUGGCCAUGUUUUUUCUGCUUUUUUAGUAGAUAAAGACUCCUUAGGCCCAUAAUUAUUCCUCGGUUUAACAUAUGAACAUAUUCGAAUGCAUCGUUGAGUAGUACACUUUAGUGAAAAAUUAUUCACACAUAACGCAUUUUUGUUGGGGUUUGUAUUCACGAAAUGAUAUAAAUACAUAUAAUGAUUAAUUACAUUUGUUUGCUAAUAAUGUGUGAAUUAUUCAAGACAAAAAUUAUGAAUUAAAAAACUUCAAGUGUUUCA